GACGAACGCUGGCGGCGUGCUUAACACAUGCAAGUCGAACGGAAAGGCCCUGCUUUUGUGGGGUGCUCGAGUGGCGAACGGGUGAGUAACACGUGAGUAACCUGCCCUUGACUUUGGGAUAACUUCAGGAAACUGGGGCUAAUACCGGAUAGGAUCUCCUGCUGCAUGGUGGGGGUUGGAAAGUUUCGGCGGUUGGGGAUGGACUAGCGGCUUAUCAGCUUGUUGGUUGGGUAGUGGCUUACCAAGGCUUUGGCGGGUAGCCGGCCUGAGAGGGUGACCGGCCACAUUGGGACUGCGAUACGGACCAGACUCCUACGGGAGGCAGCAGUGGGGAAUAUUGCACAAUGGGCGGAAGCCUGAUGCAGCAACGCCGCGUUCGUGAUGACGGCCUUCGGGUUGUAAACCGCUUUCGCCUGUGACGAAGCGUGAGUGACGGUAAUGGGUAAAGAAGCACCGGCUAACUACGUG
rnacentral:rRNA from 1 species